AUGAACGCUGGCGGCGUGCCUAAUACCUGCCAGUCGAGCGAACAGACGAGGAGCUUGCUCCUCUGACGUUAGCGGCGGACGGGUGAGUAACACGUGGAUAACCUACCUAUAAGACUGGGAUAACUUCGGGAAACCGGAGCUAAUACCGGAUAAUAUAUUGAACCGCAUGGUUCAAUAGUGAAAGACGGUUUUGCUGUCACUUAUAGAUGGAUCCGCGCCGCAUUAGCUAGUUGGUAAGGUAACGGCUUACCAAGGCAACGAUGCGUAGCCGACCUGAGAGGGUGAUCGGCCACACUGGAACUGAGACACGGUCCAUACUCCUACGGGAGGCAGCAGUAGGGAAUCUUCCGCAAUGGGCGAAAGCCUGACGGAGCAACGCCGCGUGAGUGAUGAAGGUCUUCGGAUCGUAAAACUCUGUUAUUAGGGAAGAACAAAUGUGUAAGUAACUAUGCACGUCUUGACGGUACCUAAUCAGAAAGCCACGGCUAACUACGUG
rnacentral:rRNA from 1 species